rnacentral:misc_RNA from 1 species
CGUGUGCAUGAGCUCACGCACUCGCGUCUCGCGUUUUUGUGUUUGCUGGUUUUAGGUACGUGUACGGAAGCAGAAGAAAACCGGCACGCAUAUACACUUCUCCAGUGCGUGCAGGCAGAAAAGCACUCCGUCCGCUAUAGCGCCGCCCAAAUACGUCUCUCGGCUCUUUUUUCCUAUUGUUCCCCCCUCCCUACUGCACCUCUUCCUGCAGUCUGUCGAGCUGCGGCUCCCAUCAAAGAAAAGCAACCGGCCGGUCUUGCCGGUGGUACUCCACGUUCGUCACCCCCCCCUCUCCACCCUUAAUAUCUUUACACCAUUGACGGGAGCCCCUCGCUGCUUUUCUUUGCGUGCCUUGCAUCACCAUGUUCCGCUGUGCUGUCUUUGGUGCAACGAUGGUACGCCGCUCGGGGGCAGCAGCAGCGCGGAAUCCUCCCACGCGCGCGGCAGCGCUUAAGGAUGUCACCAGCGACGCAGUGGCGGGCUGCAGCGCUUCAAACACUCACGUUGAUACAUCUCUUCAGCACGCCCAAGAAGAAAUCCACGCUACUUUUGUGCGUGUGGAGAAGGCACCGGCGACACAGCAUCACCUGCCGAAGUUUCUGUUUCAGGGUCGCCGUGGUAGUAGCUCUUCGGAGUACUACGUGAGUCGGAGCAACCCAGGGCAUCCGGACACGGUCGCAGAACUGCUCGGUGCCGGCCGCGCAGAUCCGGAGUGGAUGUGGCUGAAGCUGCUCUGCUUUCUGUGUGUCUCGUCCACGUUCGGGACAACGUUGUACAGCUACUGCUUCGCCGAGCAUAUGAAGUACUUCAAGGAUGAGCCGUGGUCGCCCUUCCGGCACUGAUACGGUGCGUUGGAGCUUCAACGUGUGGGCGUGUUUCGUGUAGCGUGCGUGUUGUGUGGGGCAUGUUUGCCAAACGGCUGCUUGACUACUUGCCUGUCUGUGUGUUCCCUGGUAUGGCGACCCUCUCAUAUCGCUACAAAAGCAGCAGACAUUUUCUCUCUCUCUCUGAAAGGUGUUCGUCGUGGAGGAGAACACGAAGUCCAGCUCCACUCCGCGCUGCCCUGGCGCAGGCCUCCGUUGCGCGGCACGAAGCAAGCCUAGGCGCGCGCGUUGCAGCAAUGCGCCGACGCGGUCAUGCGAGAGCACGGCCCCCUGCCUCAGCCUGUACCCACACCCACCCGCCGCGUCGCAGGUCGCCUCACAGCCGCUCCCUCACCACGCCGGUCGCCACCUCUGGUGCAGUCCAGUAGGCGUGACACUCAGGCCCUCCACCACACCAGGAGGCAGUGCUGAAGGUCGGCGGCAGGAUACAUUCGAGUCGCGCGGACACGCUGCCCGAUCAUAGGGGUGGCACAAGCUGUGGGCACUGCCGCCGGUCGCUCCGAUGCAGCGCCGCGCAGGGCCUCCUCGCCGACGUGCGUAGCGGUAAGCAUCACUCUGGCCUCUCCCUACGCCGUGGAUGCAUGACCCUUUCACCAACAGAAGCGCUCUGGCAUCUGGCCGGGAUAGGGGGAGCGUGGUGCACUGGACGCUGAGCCACCGCGCACUGCGAGGUGUUGCCCUCCCCCCCCGACCCCCGUCAUGAAGGGAGAUCAUGGAAAAAGGUAAAACUAAGCGCUGUCGAGUUCUCCAGAUGUGCUUUGCACUGAUUGGUCGGCUAUCGCUG